UGUGUGAGGAUGAAUAGAUGAAU
rnacentral:piRNA from 1 species